UACGGAGGAUUCAAGCGUUAUCCGGAUUUAUUGGGUUUAAAGGGUGCGUAGGCGGUCGGAUAAGUUAGAGGUGAAAUCCCGAGGCUCAACUUCGGAAUUGCCUCUGAUACUGUUCGGCUAGAGAGUAGUUGCGGUAGGCGGAAUGUAUGGUGUAGCGGUGAAAUGCUUAGAGAUCAUACAGAACACCGAUUGCGAAGGCAGCUUACCAAGCUACUUCUGACGUUGAGGCACGAAAGCGUGGGGAGUAAACAGG
rnacentral:rRNA from 1 species